AACUUCCACAAACAGGAUCAGCUUACUACAGUUGGAAGGACAGCACUAACCAUCUCAAUGUCAUUAUUCAGGAAUGCUGGCAAGACACACCUUUGCAUAUCACAAACAUGAAGCUAAUCUAUCAUUUAGUAGCACUAGUCACAGCCACUUAUGAGUUUCUCCCAGCUACUGUUUUGUUGCCUUCUUCACUCUUUACUGUACCUUACCUUAAAAUCAUAAAUCCAUCAGGCCAGAAACAACAUUAUUUUAAUUCACACUUCUCCAGUACCUACAGACUGGGCAUUAAGCCUCACUAGAACCCACUGGAACUACUGGAAAUGUGCAUAAGAACUACUAAACAUGCUCCUCCCAGCUCUUGAUUUCUCUUUCCCUGAAUGUCCAUCUGCUCCCUGUACAUAAAGCCCUGCUUGCAAAAGUAUGUCAUUAUAAGACUGGUCUCUAUCAUCUGUGAAAAACUGUAACAAUUGCAUGAGGUCCCCAGUGACAGGAAGGGGUAUGUAUCAUGUCACCUUUUUAAAAAGGCAGGAAGAAAGUUCUGGGGAUCUUUCCUACACAGGCUAGUCAGCCCUACAUCAGUCCCUUGUAGCUUUAUGGAGCAAGUUCUGGAAGCCAUUUCCAGGCACCCAAAGGACAAGAAGGUGACUAGGAACAGGCAGCCAGAUUAAAUGAGGGAAAAUCAUGCCUAUGAACCUGACUGCCUCCUAUGAUGAAAUGACAGGCUCUGAGAAUGCACAGAGGGCAGUGGAUGCUGUUUACAUUGACUUCAGCAAGCCUCUCGAUGCAGUCAUUCAUAGCAUCCUUAUAGCCAAAUGAGGGAGCUGUGGACUGGAUGCCAUCCACUAAAAAAGGUCAGCACGAAAUUGGUUGAACUGUCAGGCUCAAAGAAUAAUGAUCAACGGUUUGAAAUCUGAGUGAUGGUCAGUUACGAAAUGCAUGAUACAGAAGACAAUACUGGGAUUGAUACUGUUCAGUGAUCAUUAGUGAUGUGGUGGAAAGAGACAGAACAUACUCUCAGAGAACAUACUCUCAGAAAUAAUGGCAUGUUGGGGAGGACAGCCAUGGAUAUACUGGAGGGGGGUACCACCUAGAGGAACCUUGACAGAUUGGAGGAAUGAAAAGACAGAAACCUCAUGAGCAGAAUAGUUCAGUUGGAAUGGACCUACAACAAUCAUCUAGCCCAAUUGCCUGACCACUUCAGGGAUGACCAAAAGUUAAAGUAUAAUAAUUUAAGGGCAUUGUUCAAAUGCCUCAAACACUGACAGGCAUGGAGCAUUGACCACCUCUCUAGGAAGCCUGCUCUAGUGUUCGACUACCCUCUCUAUACAGAAGCGUUUUCUAAUGUCAAGUCUGAACCUCCCCUGACACACCUUUGAACCAUUUCCAUGUGUCCUGUCACUGGAUACCAAGGAGGAGAGCUCAGCACCUCGCUCUCCAGUUUCCCUCCUCACAAAGCUGUAGAGAGCAAUGAGCUCAUCCUUCAAUUACCUUUUCUUCAAACUAGAUAAACCCAGAGUCCUCAGCCACUCCUAACAGGAUAGGCCUUCCAGUCCUUUCACCAGCUUUGUUGCCCUCCUCUAGACACGUUCAAGGACCUUCGCAACCUUUUUAAAUUGUAGAGCCCAGAACAGCACACAGUAUUCAAGGUGAAGCCACACCAACACUAAAUACAGAGGGAUAAUCACAUCUUUUGACCAGCUGGUUAUGCUGUGUUUGAUGUACCCCAGGAUGCUGUUUGCCCUCAUGGCUGCCAGGGCACACUGCUGACUGCUGACUAGCUUCGCCAGAACCCUUUCUGCAGGGCUGCUUGCCAGCCACUCCUCUCCCAGUUUAUACUUGUGUCCAGCAUUACUCCGUCCCAGGUACAGAAUCUGGCACAGUUAAAUUUCAUGCCAUUGAUGAUUGCCCAAUGCUCCAAUCUAUCUAGAUUGCUCUGCAAGGCCUCUUGUCCUUGAGAGGUCAACAGCACCUCCCACUUUAGUAUCAUCAACAAAGUUGCUAAUGGUGCACUCAGCUCCUGCAUCCAAAUCAUUGAUAAAUACACUGAACAGAACUGUCCCUAGAAUCAAACCCUGAGGAACACCACAGGUGACUGGUCACCAGGCAGAUAGAGUCCCAUUCACUGCAGUCCUUUGAGCCCUGCUGUUCAGCCAGUUCUUCAACCAGCACACUGCGUACUGGCUCAUUUUGCAGUUGGACAGCUUGUCCAGAAGGGCACUGUGAGGGAAGUAUCAAGAGCCUUACUGAAAUCCAGAAAAUCUACAUCCACGACCUUCCCUUCAUCUCCUAGGUCAGUGACCUUAUUAUAGAAGGAUAUCAAAUUAGUUAAACAGGACUUUCCUUUUGUCAACCCAUGUUGAUUGUGCCUGAUGCUUGCAUUGUCCUUUAAAUGCCUUUCAACAGCACCCAGUAUGAUCUUCUCCAUAAUUUUUCCAGGUACUAAGGUUAGACUAACAGGUCUGUAAGUUUCCUUGUAAACUGGAAUAACAUUGUCCAGCUUCCCAUCAGCAGGGACCUCCCCAGACUCCCAAGACCUUUCGCAGACGAUUGAGAGGGGUCCUGCUGCAAGAUCCACAAGCUCCUUCGGUUCUUAGGGAUGAAUCUCAUCCAGCCUCAUAGACUUAUGAACAUUCAACUGAUACAAUUGGUCCCUUACAAUUUCAGUGUCCACAAAUGGAAAAUCAACAUUCCUGCAGUCACAGUCCUCCAACGCAGAUGACCAGGCAGUCCAAGGUCUAUCAGUAUUAUUAGAGACUGAGGAAAAAAAGCUUUGAAUGCCUCCACCUUUUCUUCAUCCCGAUUUGUCAGGUGACCAUCUCCAACACAUAUCAACCCAAUGUUUUCCUUAGACCUUUUCUUGCUAUUAAUGUAUUUCAAAAAGCCUUUCUUGCUGUCUGACUCAACACUGGCCAGUUUAAACCCUAAUUAAGCUUUGGCCUUUUGUGUAUUCUCCCUGCAUAUGCCAACCACAGCUGUAUAAUCUUCCUGUGAAGCCUGACCUUACUUCCAGAGAUCAAACAAUGAGUUCCAAGAUGAGUUCCCUGUUCAGCCAAACUGGUCUUCUGCACUGCUUGCUUGACUUUCAACACAAAGGGAUUGCCUGCUUUUGUGCUUUUAAAAGGUGGUUCUUGAAAACAGACCAGUACUCAUGGACGCCUAAGCCCUCAAAAGUAGAUUCCAAAGGGACACUGCUAACUAGCUCACUGAAUAGCUUAAAGUUAUCUCUCUUGAAACCUAGGGUAGCAACUCUACUGAUCAUUUUUCUGAUUAUGUUAAAAAUCUUAAACUCAAGCAUUUCGUGGUCACUGUGCCCAAGACAGCGACCUACCAUCACAUCUUCCACAAGUCCUUUGCUAUUCACAAAUAUGAAGUCUAGGAGGGCAUCUUUCCUAGAUGGCUCACUGAGUGCUUGUGACAAAUUAUUUUCAACAUACUUCAGGAAUUUGCCAGACUUGCUUGUCACAGCAGUAUGGUAUUCCCAGUUAUGUCUGGGAAGUUGAAGUCUCCCAUAAGGACAAAGACAGAAAAAAAACUGGAGAGAAGACAAACCUGGAAAAAGACUGGAGAGUCCUGGUGGACAAGUGGAAUAUGAGUGAACUGUGUAUCUUUGAAGCACUAAUCACACACUAGACCUCCUUAGUAGAAGCACAGCUACCAAAUCAAGGAACAUUAUUAUUAUUCUUUUCUACUCAUCUGAAGCACUGUGUCCUUCACUGCGAGUACUGUGUAAGUACUCCAUGAGUUCUAAGGAAUCUGCCUUAGAGGGAAAGAGACGAAACAAUGCACCUAGUUCAUUCAUCGAAGAAUGCUGCAAAUAUUCAAAUCUGCAUCAAGCUACUGAAGUCUGAAAAUGAAUUUUAAUAAAUACCCUGGAGUAACAAGAUGUGUGAUUCAUUUAGCAUGUCUACCAUUCCAGAGAAACAAAUUUGGUUGAGAGUCUGACUGACCUGCAAAUGGAUUCUAACUUAUAAAUAGAAAAGACAAAGGCAGCUGCAAGAACAUGAGUCUCCUGGCAUUUCAGAAAGUUGACAUGGCAGGAAGUAUGGCUUACCAAGACAAGGCCUGCCACAGUUACUCCUCCUUAUUGCCACAGGUACAUUCAACCUUUAAGGCAAGGAAGACCUCCUAGAAGCUUACAGCCUAAGUAAGGCUUAACCAGAUGAACAGUGCUAUUGACCUCAAUAGGAAAAUCUGAUAAAUUAUCUUUCCCUGCCCCUAGAGAAAAAAACUCAACUGCACAAAUCUUCUUUUAGGGAACCUCCCUGUCACUGAAACAGCCUACAAGUUAGGUUACAAGGCUUCCAAUCCUAAAAUUUAUCUGCAGGUUGUAAAGAGAAUGUGACCACCUUUCCUCCUUCAUUGUGUUCAUUAAGUACUAGACAGCCAAGCUACUACUCUUCAGGUUUACCUUCUCAUUGUAUGUUCUAGAUUACAGGCCCUACAGUGCUGAGAGUUCUUGUGCUACCUCUUAAGCACCAUUGCUCAAAAUAACUACAAAAUAAAACAAUCCAAUGGCUACUUUAAAACAGGAACACUCCUCUCUCCACAAAAUCCUUACAGCUUGUCCUGUAAUCCAAACUGACCUCUGUACUCCUUCAGCAAGGUAAAAAGGCUUUCCUGUUCUAAUUAGUUCUAAAAUGUACUACCACCAAAAAAAAA